rnacentral:rRNA from 1 species
GAUGAACGCUGGCGGCGUGCCUAAUACAUGCCAGUCGAGCGAACGGACGAGAAGCUUGCUUCUCUGAUGUUAGCGGCGGACGGGUGAGUAACACGUGGAUACCCUACCUAUAAGACUGGGAUAACUUCGGGAAACCGGAGCUAAUACCGGAUAAUAUUUUGAACCGCAUGGUUCAAAAGUGAAAGACGGUCUUGCUGUCACUUAUAGAUGGAUCCGCGCUGCAUUAGCUAGUUGGUAAGGUAACGGCUUACCAAGGCAACGAUGCAUAGCCGACCUGAGAGGGUGAUCGGCCACACUGGAACUGAGACACGGUCCAGACUCCUACGGGAGGCAGCAGUAGGGAAUCUUCCGCAAUGGGCGAAAGCCUGACGGAGCAACGCCGCGUGAGUGAUGAAGGUCUUCGGAUCGUAAAACCCUGUUAUUAGGGAAGAACAUAUGUGUAAGUAACUGUGCACAUCUUGACGGUACCUAAUCAGAAAGCCACGGCUAACUACGUG